rnacentral:lncRNA from 1 species
ACGUGAAACACUUUUUGUUCUUACUGUUGUAAUAUUUGCUUAUCUUAGAAGCACUCUAGAUUACAUAAGUUUUUAUCUUUGUUGUAUUUCCUCAAGUGACUCUGUGUAGUCUGUAUACUUGAGAGGACUAAGAGAUCUUUCUCUUAGACGUUGUUUGUAAUCAAUCUUUCAAGAUUAGUGGAUUAAGUCCUUGUUGAAGGCGAAAUCACCUUGGCCGGGUGGACUGGAGUAG